rnacentral:lncRNA from 1 species
GAAGAUAUGGUUUUGUGAUCUAUGGUCUUGGGUCAUCCGUUGGAUGGGUGAUAAUGGAAAUUUUCUUGAGGACAGACACGUGCAAGUUUUGUGAGAGUUAAACCUGUUUUAUGAGAGUUAAACCUGUUUUAUGAGAGUUAAAGCUAUUUUUUGAGAGUUAAACAUGUGCAUACGAAUGGAUUUUUUUUAGAACUGGUCAAACUAUUUUUUUGUAAGAGUUAAAGCUGUUUUCUUGAGGACAAACCCGUGAAUAAGUCUCAUCUGUAUAGAUUAAUUAAUAUAAUAGGACAACAAUUUAAGUUUAUUGAAGCUCUUUCUAAGAAGCGGGGGUCUGCUUUGGUUUCUUGUUGUUUGCCUAUUCUCUUAAAAACAGUUGACUGGAUGCAGCUGACGGGUUAUACAUCAAUAAUUUGGGCAGUUGGAUAUGGCAUUUACAAGUAAAGGAUUUCAGAAAUCUAAUAUGGCAUGCCUAUUUUUCAUGGAAAAACGAAUGGUACCUUAUUUACUAUUUAGUUUUUAAGCUAGACUAAUUUGACUACACGCUUCCUGAGGUGCCUUCUGUUUUUGAAUAGUCAUAGAAUUCUCCUGAUUACGAGAUGUUCCUUUGUCACUAUUUGAAUUUCUGCCUUGAGUGGCCUCUGUCUUGGUUUACAGCUCCAUAUGGCUACUUAUGUAUAACAUAAGGAGGUCCUGUUUGAACUGUUCUCAAAUAUGUUUACUACAGCAAAGUGGAAUAUGCAAAGUUUCUGUGUUGAUUAGGCAAAUACUUGCUUUGCCUUAAAUACUGUCCCCAUCUAUGUUCCAGGUUUUUUGGGUAUGAAUUAUUUCCCUGGAAUGGAUCAACACAUUUGCAUGGGAUUUUAGAAAAAUAUAUGUGAAUGCAUCUUUCUAAUAAAAGCAUUGCUUAAGAAAUACCCUUUUCUGAAAUCAAAAUUGUUGUUGGUCUUCUGAUCACUUUCAUUGUCUAUCAGAUAGGCUAUGGCUUCCAUAAGCUAGCAUCAUUAGGGUCAGGUCGUUGUGUUUAGUUUAUUUUCAGUGCCUUGCAAGUUAGUGGUUCCCAGAAGAUUGUAGCCUACCUUAUUAGCGUCGACUGGCAUAUUUAUCUUUCAAUGUCAUUGCUUAACCAUGCCUGGCUGACUGCUAUAUUUAUAUAUGCACAAAGUGCUUAUUCCUUUGGUGCUUCCAGAUUGUCAAGGUAUGAGCAGAGCAGCGAGGGAUGAGAAAUGGGGUAACUUAUCGUAGACAUACAGAAAUGAAAAUAAAGCUAUGCACAGAGAAAAGGUGUAGAAUUGAUUGCUGGGCAUGAAUUCCGGCAUGGACCACUUUGCUUUGCUUUUGUCACAUUAAAAUUAAUCAUAUAUAGUAAUUUUUUUGUCCACAGUACUAUGAUCCAUCCAUCAUUGUUGGUUCACCAUUCUAAAGGAAAUAGACAAAGGUAAAAUCUUAGUGUACUUGAAUAUAUAGAUUUGUCUGAUUGUGUUGUAAUCUUAGUUUCCUUUUAUCUUUCUAUAUAUGAACCUGCUAUUAUGUGUCAUUGUGUUGUGGUCUUGACCAUCUGCAGCAAGGGUUAGGCAAAUAGUUAUCCUGUAAAAUGAGUUGCCGGUUCUUACCACGUGGUUGCUAUUUUAUUUUGCAAUUUUUAUGCAUCACAUGAUUACUUUUUUAAAAAGUGAUCUUAAUUCAUGGUCCUUAGUUUACUGAUCGUUCGGCGGCUCUGUGUACCAAUAUAGUGGUGCAUCUAGGAGGAAGGGAUCUAGAGACGACGAUGGACAAAACAAUCCUGCAGAGGCAGCAAGAGGCAGUUCUCGACAAAUCACUAUAAGGUGUUCUCUUUUGACCUGUUGAUAUUACUGUCUCUCUGGUUUUGAUUUCCUUGUAUAAAAUUUACUAAUUUGGGAGAAAAGCAGCGCAAGGAUCCAAUGGAAGAAUUUGGUGAAGAACAAGGUCUCCAUCAUUUGGCGUCAAGGAAAGGAAGACCAUGUCAUCAUUUGGCCAGUGCAGGUAAUGCUCUACCUGAUGCACUAUUUAGGUCAUCAUGGUUUCAAUACUUUUGGCUCGCCUUAAUGCUAAUAAGGAAUGUCGGGCUUACAAGUUUCAACAAUGUGCAGUGAUUCCAAAGUUAUGUAGGCCAGAUUGUGUUAUUUUUUACUGAACACUUUGUUCUCCAGUGAGGUUACAGAUUCUAUAAUAUGUUGUGGCGGUAUGUACAUAUGGAAAUCCUAAUCUAGCUAAUUUGAUUGUGGGAAUUAUGUUGUUAGUCUAUCUUCCAGGCCUGUUGUCAGUUAUCAUUAUUUCUGCUAUAAUGUGAGCCAAUUAGAAACUGAUAUAAUGUGUUUUUCCUAAUAAAUCUCAUGCUGGUGUGUUUUGCAUUCUCAAAAAAUCAUGACAGGUCCCCAUGCCCCUGUAUCUGCCCUCGAAGCCGGGUUCCGCGAGCUAAGGUUGCAGGGGAGAAUGAACGUGCAAGUUUCCAGCAGCAAAGUUUUUUCUACAUUUGAUGGGUAGCUAAAUUAGUUUGAUUUCACGGAUGAUGGAGCCUUGCUGUGUGACGUAGUUCCUGGUGAAGAAAUAUUUGUUAGGUCUAUGUAUGUGUGUACUGGAGUUGGUGCAUCUCCAAGGAAGAACCAAACCCUUAUUCCUAUCUUACAAUAUUUUACACUUAAAUGCAAAUGCAAAGUGUUAGCUAUGUUAACUGUUGUUUCAAUCCCUUGUUUGAAAAUGUGAUUGAUUACAAAUUGUGCAUGCUCAAGUAUAUAUUUGUAAAAAGAAGUCCUUAAUUUUU